AUUGAACGCUGGCGGAAUGCUUUACACAUGCAAGUCGAGCGGCAGCGCGGGGGCAACCCUGGCGGCGAGCGGCGAACGGGUGAGUAACAUAUCGGAACGUACCCUGUCGUGGGGGAUAACACAUCGAAAGGUGUGCUAAUACCGCAUACGACCUGAGGGUGAAAGCGGGGGACCGUAAGGCCUCGCGCGAUAGGAGCGGCCGAUAUCGGAUUAGCUUGUUGGUGAGGUAAAGGCUCACCAAGGCGACGAUCCGUAGCGGGUCUGAGAGGACGACCCGCCACACUGGAACUGAGACACGGUCCAGACUCCUACGGGAGGCAGCAGUGGGGAAUUUUGGACAAUGUGGGCAACCCUGAUCCAGCCAUUCCGCGUGAGUGAAGAAGGCCUUCGGGUUGUAAAGCUCUUUCAGCAGGAACGAAACGGUGGUCUCUAAUACGGACUACUAAUGACGGUACCUGAAGAAGAAGCACCGGCUAACUACGUGCCAGCAGCCGCGGUAAUACGUAGGGUGCGAGCGUUAAUCGGAAUUACUGGGCGUAAAGCGUGCGCAGGCGGUUAUAUAAGACAGAUGUGAAAUCCCCGGGCUCAACCUGGGAACUGCGUUUGUGACUGUAUAACUUGAGUAUGGGAGAGG
rnacentral:rRNA from 1 species